CCUACGGGAGGCAGCAGUGAGGAAUAUUGGUCAAUGGACGAGAGUCUGAACCAGCCAAGUAGCGUGAAGGAUGACUGCCCUAUGUGUUGUACACUUCUUUUAUAUGGGAAUAAAAUGUUCCACGUGUGGGAUUUUGUAUGUACCAUAUGAAUACGGAUCGGCUAACUCCGUGCAAGCAGCCGCGGUAAUACGGAGGAUCCGAGCGUUAUCCGGAUUUAUGGGGUUUAAAGGGAGCGUAGGUGGAUUGUUAAGUCAGUUGUGAAAGUGUGCGGCUAAACCGUAAAAUUGCAGUUGAAACUGGGAGUCUUGAGUGCAGUAGAGGUGAGCGGAAUUCGUGGUGUAGCGGUGAAAUGCUUAGAUAUCACGAAGAACUCCGAUGGCGAAGGCAGUUCACUGGACUGCAACUGACGCUGAGGCUCGAAAGUGCGGGUAUCAAACAGGAUUAGAUACCCGAGUAGUC
rnacentral:rRNA from 1 species